rnacentral:rRNA from 1 species
AGUGAACGCUGGCGGCGUGCCUAAUACAUGCAAGUCGAACGAUGAAGUCCUAGCUUGCUAGGAUGGAUUAGUGGCGCACGUGUGAGUAAUAUAUAGUUAAUCUGCCCUACACAGAGGAACAACAGCUGGAAACGACUGCUAAUACCUCAUACUCCUAUUUGACAUAAGUUAAAUAGGGAAAGUCUUUUCGGUGUAGGAUGAGACUAUAUCGUAUCAGCUAGUUGGUAAGGUAAUGGCUUACCAAGGCGAUGACUCGUAACUGGUCUGAGAGGAUGAUCAGUCGACUUGGAAGUGAGACACGGUCCGAGAUCCUUCGGGAGGCAGCAGUAGGGAAUAUUGCGCAAGCGGGGAGACCCAGACACAGCAACGCCGCGUGGAGGAUGACACUUUGCGAAGAAUAAACUCCUUUUAUCAGGAAAGAAUAAUGACGGUACCUGAUGAAUAAGCACCGGCUAACUCCGUG